rnacentral:lncRNA from 1 species
UUGCUUGGCCCAGACAAACAGACAAAAUAAAACCAAGAAUAAAAAAGUCCAAGUCUAUUUACAAAAUAGAUUGGUCAAAAUAAAAAAAGAGCCCAAUAGCCCAAUCUAUUUGUUGAAUCUAAUACCCAAUAACCCAAAGCUCAAUAGUCCACAACCUAAACUUUUUUCAGAAAAUCAAAAACCCUAGAUCCCUUAUGUGCCGUUGCUUUUGGCCACAUCAGUAGAUGUGUC